GAUGGACGCUAGCGGCAGGCCUAAUACAUGCAAGUCGAGCGGCAAGUUGAGAAGCAAUUCGAGACCUAGAGCGGCGUACGGGUGCGUAACGCGUAUGCAACCUACCUCAUACAGGGGGAUAGCCCGGAGAAAUCUGGAUUAAUACCCCAUAGUACAUAUAGAGGGCAUCUGAAAUAUGUUAAAGAUUCAUCGGUAUGAGAUGGGCAUGCGUCUGAUUAGCUAGUUGGCGGUGUAACGGACCACCAAGGCGACGAUCAGUAGGGGUUCUGAGAGGAAGGUCCCCCACACUGGCACUGAGAUAUGGGCCAGACUCCUACGGGAGGCAGCAGUAGGGAAUAUUGGGCAAUGGUCGGAAGACUGACCCAGCCAUGCCGCGUGCAGGAAGAAGGCCCUCUGGGUUGUAAACUGCUUUUAUCUGGGAAGAAAAGGCCCGUGCGCGGGACAUUGCCGGUACCAGAUGAAUAAGCACCGGCUAACUCCGUGCCAGCCGCCGCAGUAACAC
rnacentral:rRNA from 1 species